CAGGUUUGACAUUGAUGGUAAGCCUAUGAAAGUAGGCCCUCUCCCACAAGGAGACCAGAAAACCACUUGUUGCAUGGCUGUCGUCAGCUCGUGCCGUGAGGUGUACGGUUAAGUCCGCCAACGAGCGCAACCCUCGUCCUAUGUUGCCAGCGAGUAAAGUCGGGAACUCAUAGGAGACCGCCGGUGUAAGCCGGAGGAAGGUGAGGAUGAUGUCAAGUCAGCAUGGCAGUUACACCG
rnacentral:rRNA from 1 species